rnacentral:rRNA from 1 species
UACGUAGGUGGCGAGCGUUGUCCGGAUUUACUGGGCGUAAAGAGCGCGCAGGCGGUCGUUCAAGUCGCGUGUGAAAGCCCCCGGCUCAACUGGGGAGGGUCACGCGAUACUGAUCGACUCGAAGGCAGGAGAGGGAAGUGGAAUUCCCGGUGUAGCGGUGAAAUGCGUAGAUAUCUGGAGGAAUACCGGUGGCGAAGGCGGCAUCCUGGACCGACAUUGACGCUGAUGAGCGAAAGCUAGGGGAGCAAACGGG